ACCCAUGCAAGUCGAGCGCCCCGCAAGGGGAGCGGCAGACGGGUGAGUAACGCGUGGGAACGUACCUUUUGCUACGGAAUAACUCAGGGAAACUUGUGCUAAUACCGUAUGUGCCCUUCGGGGGAAAGAUUUAUCGGCAAAGGAUCGGCCCGCGUUGGAUUAGCUAGUUGGUGAGGUAAAGGCUCACCAAGGCGACGAUCCAUAGCUGGUCUGAGAGGAUGAUCAGCCACACUGGGACUGAGACACGGCCCAGACUCCUACGGGAGGCAGCAGUGGGGAAUAUUGGACAAUGGGCGCAAGCCUGAUCCAGCCAUGCCGCGUGAGUGAUGAAGGCCCUAGGGUUGUAAAGCUCUUUCACCGGUGAAGAUAAUGACGGUAACCGGAGAAGAAGCCCCGGCUAACUUCGUGCCAGCAGCCGCGGUAAUACGAAGGGGGCUAGCGUUGUUCGGAUUUACUGGGCGUAAAGCGCACGUAGGCGGACUUUUAAGUCAGGGGUGAAAUCCCGGGGCUCAACCCCGGAACUGCCUUUGAUACUGGAAGUCUUGAGUAUGGUAGAGGUGAGUGGAAUUCCGAGUGUAGAGGUGAAAUUCGUAGAUAUUCGGAGGAACACCAGUGGCGAAGGCGGCUCACUGGACCAUUACUGACGCUGAAGGUGCGAAAGCGUGGGGAGCAAACAGGAUUAGAUACCCCUGGUAGUCCACCCCGUAAACGAUGAAUGUUAGCCGUNGGGGGAGUUUUACUCUUCGGGUGGGCGCACUUACGCAUUAAACAUUCC
rnacentral:rRNA from 1 species